GACGAGCGCUGGCGGCGCGCCUAACACAUGCAAGUCGAACGGAGUCAAGAGGAGCUUGCUUUUCUUGACUUAGUGGCGAACGGGUGAGUAACGCGUGAGUAACCUGCCCUGGAGUGGGGGACAACAGUUGGAAACGACUGCUAAUACCGCAUAAGCCCACGGAUCUGCAUGGAUCUGCGGGAAAAGGAUUUAUUCGCUCUAGGAUGGACUCGCGUCCAAUUAGCUAGUUGGUGAGGUAACGGCCCACCAAGGCGACGAUUGGUAGCCGGACUGAGAGGUUGAACGGACACAUUGGGACUGAGACACGACCCAGACUCCUACGGGAGGCAGCAGUGGGGGAUAUUGCACAAUGGGGGAAACCCUGAUGCAGCGACGCCGCGUGGAGGAAGAAGGUUUUCGGAUUGUAAACUCCUGUCGUUAGGGACGAUAAUGACGGUACCUAACAAGAAAGCACCAGCUAACUACGUG
rnacentral:rRNA from 1 species